rnacentral:ncRNA from 1 species
UAGGCUCGCGAAGGUGGAGAAGUACACCAGGUAUAAUGAAGCCCUGGCCGAGUACUUGGCUGUACAGAGGCAGGACAUUAGCUUUAUCGGGUUGAUUUUCGGAGCGAGCGGUGCCGUACCCACUGGCACUGUAAGAACGUGCCGCGCCUUGGGGCUCUCCAACGCGGAGAUUAGAAGGGCGGCAGUCUCGGCCCUGCGAGGAAGUCUGAACACGUUUCGGGCUUUCAAGCGGGGUCGGGCAAAUGUGAACAGUACUCCUUACGGCUGAGGUGGCAUGGCCAUCCGGGCCCUUAUCCGGGGGCUUCACACUCUCUGAUGGAAAGAAUAGCCAAAUGCCUCGUCAUCUAAUUAGUGACGCGCAUGAAUGGAUUAACGAGAUUCCCGCUGUCCCUAUCUACUAUCUAGCGAAACCACAGCCAAGGGAACGGGCUUGGCAGAAUUAGCGGGGAAAGAAGACCCUGUUGAGCUUGACUCUAGUCCGACUUUGUGAAGAGACAUGAGAGGUGUAGGAUAAGUGGGAGGUCCUCGGGCCGACGGUGAAAUACCACUACUCCCAUCGUUUUUUUACUUAUUCAGUAAAGCGGGGAGCGACCCUCGGGUCCCGUUUCUAGCCUUAAGCUCUCGGGCGCCGCGCGAUCCGCUCUGAAGACCUAUUCUAUUUGUUAUUCUAUUUGAAUAAGGUUCUGAAAUUCUACAGCUACAUAAACACCAGCACCCUGUGGUUGCCUGUGGCACCGCUUCUGCAAGCGAAAUUACCAGGCAAAAGAAAAUCUCAGACACAUCGUUGCAAGUAGAAGCAUUUUCAUCAGAAAAGCAAAGAUGCAACGAACGAAAUCCUCCGCACAAUAUUCAAGAGGAUCGUCUUAAAUUUAUUUACAGAAGACCCGCUCACAUAGCCUGCGCGCUAUGCGAUGCAGACCUCAGUACCAACGGCCGCGCCUCGUACCACCUGCUGAGCUUCCACCAAGCCAAAGCAUCAGGAAACGUGUGCGGGAAGUGCGAUCGCUCUUUCUUCAGCAAGUGCACGGUGACCAAAUCCAACCUCACAGCAACAGUGAAUGCAGAGCCCGUCCGAUCUGCAAGAAAACCUUUCAAACGGUUAGAGGGCUUCACGUCCAUCAACGUCGUCUACACCCAGUGGAAUUCCACACUACACUGGAGCAAGUCGAGGAACCGUCUAAAAGAAGACCAUACAAAUCAGACGAACUGUUCCUCCUUGCGAAAGCGGAGGUGGAUAUGGAACACAAAACGAGAAAGGUCAACCAACAACUCCAUGACCUGCACGGAGAAGAAGAUCAGGCGGCGGGGGCUACCUCACUCCCAGCCAGUAACUCUGACACGGAACACCGGAACUGGAUGGAGGAGCUAGAUCUCUUCUUGGAGAAGUCAAUCAAAGAACAUAAUGAUAAUCCAAGUGUCUGCGCGGUUAAUAACAUCAUAUGGAGGGCACUGAAUAAAGACAUCCAAGACCCACUGCAAAGUCAUGACUUACUGCGCAGAAUAUCUCCUGGAUGUCUACGCAAUAGGCGCAAGUCCACGAGGAGUAUCGAGCAGACGACAUCGCCAAAACAAGCUGCCACAACAUCGGCAGCUCGAAAGAGAGAAGCGUACUCUCUCCAGCAA